UUUUUAUGAGAGUUUGAUCCUGGCUCAGGACGAACGCUGGCGGCGUGCCUAAUACAUGCAAGUCGAACGCUUCUUUUUCCACCGGAGCUUGCUCCACCGGAAAAAGAGGAGUGGCGAACGGGUGAGUAACACGUGGGUAACCUGCCCAUCAGAAGGGGAUAACACUUGGAAACAGGUGCUAAUACCGUAUAACAAUCGAAACCGCAUGGUUUUGAUUUGAAAGGCGCUUUCGGGUGUCGCUGAUGGAUGGACCCGCGGUGCAUUAGCUAGUUGGUGAGGUAACGGCUCACCAAGGCCACGAUGCAUAGCCGACCUGAGAGGGUGAUCGGCCACAUUGGGACUGAGACACGGCCCAAACUCCUACGGGAGGCAGCAGUAGGGAAUCUUCGGCAAUGGACGAAAGUCUGACCGAGCAACGCCGCGUGAGUGAAGAAGGUUUUCGGAUCGUAAAACUCUGUUGUUAGAGAAGAACAAGGAUGAGAGUAACUGUUCAUCCCUUGACGGUAUCUAACCAGAAAGCCACGGCUAACUACGUGCCAGCAGCCGCGGUAAUACGUAGGUGGCAAGCGUUGUCCGGAUUUAUUGGGCGUAAAGCGAGCGCAGGCGGUUUCUUAAGUCUGAUGUGAAAGCCCCCGGCUCAACCGGGGAGGGUCAUUGGAAACUGGGAGACUUGAGUGCAGAAGAGGAGAGUGGAAUUCCAUGUGUAGCGGUGAAAUGCGUAGAUAUAUGGAGGAACACCAGUGGCGAAGGCGGCUCUCUGGUCUGUAACUGACGCUGAGGCUCGAAAGCGUGGGGAGCAAACAGGAUUAGAUACCCUGGUAGUCCACGCCGUAAACGAUGAGUGCUAAGUGUUGGAGGUGUUCCGCCCUUCAGUGCUGCAGCUAACGCAUUAAGCAUUCCGCCUGGUGAGUACGACCGCACGGGUGAUACGCAAAGGAAUUGACGGGGGCCCGCACAAGCGG
rnacentral:rRNA from 1 species